CCUACGGGCGGCAGCAGUGAGGAAUAUUGGUCAAUGGACGAGAGUCUGAACCAGCCAAGUAGCGUGAAGGAUGACUGCCCUCUGGGUUGUAAACUUCUUUUAUAUGGGAAUAAGAUGUUCCACGUGUGGGAUUUUGUAUGUACCAUAUGAAUACGGAUCGGCUAACUCCGUGCCAGCAGCCGCGGUAAUACGGAGGAUCCGAGCGUUAUCCGGAUUUAUUGGGGUUAAAGGGGGCGUAGGUGGAUUGUUAAGUCAGUUGUGAAAGUUUGCGGCUCAACCGCAAAAGUGCAGUUGAAACUGGGAGUCGUGAGUACAGUAGGGGCGGGCGGAAUUCGUGGGGUAGCGGUGAAAUGCGUAGAUAUCACGAAGAACACCGAUUGUGAAGGCAGCUCACUGGACUGCAACUGACACUGAGGCUCGAAAGUGUGGGGAGCAAACAGGAUUAGAUACCCGAGUAGUC
rnacentral:rRNA from 1 species